GGCCCCUCCCUUUCUUUUGGUUUCGUUUUCAGAGCAAGCAGGAAUAUUCUGCAGGAACAAGAGCCAGAAACUCAGCUCAGUUCUUGCCCAGUGUGGAACAAGCAGGAGAGUGGCUUGAAAUCUGAAGAUUUCCCCCCAAAACAAUAGACUGUUUUCAGGACCCGCAGCUCUGAGAAGUAAUGGGAUGAAAACCUUAUAUAGGAAAUAUUCCCAGCACAUGUUAAUUUGUUGCUUCUUGAUAUUGCUCGGAUUCGGCACCUAUACUGGAUGGGCAGAUAUGGAAUUCACAGUGUUUUCUGGUACCUGAAAUUUUCUGGUCCUUGGAAUUCAAGGCAACUGGGAAAAUGUGCUGUACAACCUUUCACCUAUCUCCGAACAUAGUUUCAGAUGAACUUCUACUAAUUAAUUAAACACUUCCUCUUAAAAAUAA